GUGGGGGACAGGGCAGUGGGGCUGUGCUCUGAUCUCUGAGGGACCCACACACUGCCCUUUUCAGCAGGAGCCAUGCCUGGUGUGUACGGACUGGGCCCUGCUCUGUGGAACUUUCCGUAAUUGAGAAGAUAAGUAAUUGCAGUUCAACAAAGCAAGUGCUGAUGGAGGCAUGAGUAUACUCAAUGCAGUCAGAGGAAGAAAGGAGCUCUACUUGUAGGAGCCUGGAAGACUUCCUGGCAGAGGAAACACUUGGGCUGGGCCUUGGAGGAAGAGGCAGAGUUCAUUCAACAGAGGGAAGAAGUCCAGAGAAGAGAGGGCCUGCAUAGGGGCAGAGCUGGGGUGGGGGGGGGGAGAACGCGUGUUCUCAUGACAUUCUAUUGGCUAAAUCUAGUCACAUGUUUGCAGUGGCUGCAAGGGAGGCUGGGAAAUGUAGUCCCUGGCUGGGCCACCCCUUCCUAGUGACAGUAGAGUACUAUGGAAAGGGGAGCAUCAACAGCUCUCCUGUCAUUCCUGCCAUGCUGUUUCCUCAUCUGUAAACAGGGUGGGGGGUUGGCAAUGACCUGUCCCGCGUACUUGUUAGGGAGCUGGAGACUUAUACACUGUGCCUGCCAUGCGAGGCUUAAUACUGCAUCAGCAACAGGAAGAGGAGCCAAGACCAGGGAUUUGUAUUCCGGAAGGAGCCUCCAAAGCUCUUGAGGCCCAGAAGACUCUCCAGCAGUUUCUGUUGCUGGUUCCUAGUCUGUGCUGGGCAGGGGGGUUCCUAGUCUGAGGGGCAGCUGCAUUUCAUUUGGCCCUGGGUAGCAUGGCUGUUCGACCUUGGUCACUCUGCAGAUCCCAAUAACCUCCGUGUUUUGU